UGUAAUAACAAAAGCUUUCUCUGGUAUGAGACAUCCCACACACACCACACUCCACACACCUACAACCCCAGCUUAAGACCUAUGGCCUCUUGUUGGGGAUCAGAAUCUUUUUGGCUUGGCCAAGUCACAUAGAGAAAUCCAAAACCUCCCCCUGCAGAGGAAAUUGACCUUCCCUGUCCUCUUGCUCUGGAGCACUAGCCUUUGGCUUGUUUAGUCCCUUGACUCUGCUCAAGGUCCUGGAAUCCUGGUCCUGUUCCCUCUGUGAAGUGACUCACUUGUAUGAUUGGAAGAUCCAAAACCCUCCAUUUCUUCAGAGAGGCCACAGUCCCUUAUCAGCUGCUUUAAGAGGGUGUUGGAUGCUUUUUUUGCCAAAUAUUGGGAAGAUUAAAAGCAGCAGACAAAAAACUACGAACUUACCCAAGCUGGCCCCAAGAAAAAAGCUCCAGAAAUAAGAAAGGUUUGCAGGCUGGAGAGAUGGCUCAGCAGUUAAGAGCACUGGCUGCUCUUCCAGAGGACACGGUUCAAUUCCCAGCACGCACAUGGCAGCUCACAAACUGUCUGUACUCCAGCUCCAAGUGAUUUGACACCCUCACACAGACAUAUAUGUAAGCAAAACACCAAUGCACAUAAAAUAAAAUCAUUAAAAAAAGAGAGGUUUGAAAGGAUGAAUAGAUUUCAACUUUUGAAAACUGCUCAGAAAGUUUAUAACAGCCAAGAUUCAGCUGAAGACAGAC